rnacentral:tRNA from 1 species
GGGUCUGUAGCUCUAACUGGGAGAGCGCCUAUCUUGCAAAUAGGAGGUUGCGGGUUCAAAUCCCGUCUGAUCCA